UUCUGGUUACCAAUUUCUCGUCUGUGUUUCCAUUUUGUUUUGUUUUGUUUUUAAUAAUGGCAUGGAAUUACUACUGCCGUGUGAUGAACUCGGAUUAAACUACUCACGACGGUCGUCUGAGUCGCCUUUUGGUGACCUGAUGCAGUGAUCCAAAUUGUCUGAUGGCAAUUGUCUUCUUCCCAAUCCAUCCAUAUGCUGUGUUUAUAAGCGAUUUGGUGCAAUGCAACAGCGUUGUUCAACAGAGUAGGUCGGAAGUAAUUAUCCUUGUACGAGGAGCUGAAAUCAAUGACCUCGUAUGGACUUGGUAAACAGGCUGAAAAGUCCUUUAUCUGUACUGGCAGCCAUUAAUUCCGAAGAAAACGACGCUUGCAAAUGGAUCUCAUCCUUCGCUUGACAUGCACGUGCACUGUCGUCGUCGAACACCACUGACUUUCCGGCGCGGCGGCCGUCGCCAUCGCUCUACGAUGGCUCUACAAGCGGAGACUUCACCGGUUGCAACUUCUAAGCAUUCUACGUAGUGGUUGUGGUCUCAUAAAUUAAAGCAUUUUACAUGAAAAAACGCUGUAGAUUCUGUUUCCAUUGGUGUCCUAAUAAUGUUUGGACUUGACCAUUUCAACUCCAUAACUGCAAAUGGAGGUUGUACUCUUCAAACUAGUAAAUACAUGUACCAUCAUUGUGGACCUGAUAACUAUGACAGAUAUGCAUGUUACUUUGCCGAAUUUGACCUCUA